rnacentral:rRNA from 1 species
AUGAACGCUAGCUACAGGCUUAACACAUGCAAGUCGAGGGGCAGCAUGGUCUUAGCUUGCUAAGGCCGAUGGCGACCGGCGCACGGGUGAGUAACGCGUAUCCAACCUGCCUUACACUCUUGGACAGCCUUCUGAAAGGGAGAUUAAUACAAGAUGUUAUCAUGAGUAAGCAUUUUCGCAUGAUUAAAGGUUUACCGGUGUAAGAUGGGGAUGCGUUCCAUUAGAUAGUAGGCGGGGUAACGGCCCACCUAGUCUUCGAUGGAUAGGGGUUCUGAGAGGAAGGUCCCCCACAUUGGAACUGAGACACGGUCCAAACUCCUACGGGAGGCAGCAGUGAGGAAUAUUGGUCAAUGGACGAGAGUCUGAACCAGCCAAGUAGCGUGAAGGAUGAAGGUUCUAUGGAUUGUAAACUUCUUUUAUACGGGAAUAAACGAAUCCACGUGUGGAUUUUUGCAUGUACCGUAUGAAUAAGGAUCGGCUAACUCCGUGCCAGCAGCCGCGGUAAUACGGAGGAUCCGAGCGUUAUCCGGAUUUAUUGGGUUUAAAGGGAGCGUAGAUGGGUUGUUAAGUCAGUUGUGAAAGUUUGCGGCUCAACCGUAAAAUUGCAAUUGAUACUGGCAGUCUUGAGUACAGUUGAGGUAGGCGGAAUUCGUGGUGUAGCGGUGAAAUGCUUAGAUAUCACGAAGAACUCCGAUUGCGAAGGCAGCUUACUAACCUGUAACUGACAUUGAUGCUCGAAAGUGUGGGUAUCAAACAGGAUUAGAUACCCUGGUAGUCCACACGGUAAACGAUGAAUACUCGCUGUAGGCGAUAUACAGUCUGCGGCCAAGCGAAAGCAUUAAGUAUUCCACCUGGGGAGUACGCCGGCAACGGUGAAACUCAAAGGAAUUGACGGGGGCCCGCACAAGCGGAGGAACAUGUGGUUUAAUUCGAUGAUACGCGAGGAACCUUACCCGGGCUUAAAUUGCAACCGAAUAUGGCGGAAACGCUAUAGCUAGCAAUAGCGGUUGUGAAGGUGCUGCAUGGUUGUCGUCAGCUCGUGCCGUGAGGUGUCGGCUUAAGUGCCAUAACGAGCGCAACCCUUAUCUUUAGUUACUAACAGGUCAUGCUGAGGACUCUAGAGAGACUGCCGUCGUAAGAUGUGAGGAAGGUGGGGAUGACGUCAAAUCAGCACGGCCCUUACGUCCGGGGCUACACACGUGUUACAAUGGGGGGUACAGAGGGCUGCUACCACGCAAGUGGAUGCCAAUCCCAAAAACCUCUCUCAGUUCGGAUUGAAGUCUGCAACCCGACUUCAUGAAGCUGGAUUCGCUAGUAAUCGCGCAUCAGCCACGGCGCGGUGAAUACGUUCCCGGGCCUUGUACACACCGCCCGUCACACCAUGGGAGUCGGAAAUGCCCGAAGCCGGUGGCCUAACCGCAAGGAAGGAGCCGUCGAAGGCAGGUCUGAUAACUGGGGUG